rnacentral:rRNA from 1 species
UUGGCGGGUGGCUAUACAUGCAAGUCGAGCGGACAGAUGGGAGCUUGCUCCCUGAUGUUAGCGGCGGACGGGUGAGUAACACGUGGGUAACCUGCCUGUAAGACUGGGAUAACUCCGGGAAACCGGGGCUAAUACCGGAUGCUUGUUUGAACCGCAUGGUUCAAACAUAAAAGGUGGCUUCGGCUACCACUUACAGAUGGACCCGCGGCGCAUUAGCUAGUUGGUGAGGUAAUGGCUCACCAAGGCAACGAUGCGUAGCCGACCUGAGAGGGUGAUCGGCCACACUGGGACUGAGACACGGCCCAGACUCCUACGGGAGGCAGCAGUAGGGAAUCUUCCGCAAUGGACGAAAGUCUGACGGAGCAACGCCGCGUGAGUGAUGAAGGUUUUCGGAUCGUAAAGCUCUGUUGUUAGGGAAGAACAAGUACCGUUCGAAUAGGGCGGUACCUUGACGGUACCUAACCAGAAAGCCACGGCUAACUACGUGCCAGCAGCCGCGGUAAUACGUAGGUGGCAAGCGUUGUCCGGAAUUAUUGGGCGUAAAGGGCUCGCAGGCGGUUUCUUAAGUCUGAUGUGAAAGCCCCCGGCUCAACCGGGGAGGGUCAUUGGAAACUGGGGAACUUGAGUGCAGAAGAGGAGAGUGGAAUUCCACGUGUAGCGGUGAAAUGCGUAGAGAUGUGGAGGAACACCAGUGGCGAAGGCGACUCUCUGGUCUGUAACUGACGCUGAGGAGCGAAAGCGUGGGGAGCGAACAGGAUUAGAUACCCUGGUAGUCCACGCCGUAAACGAUGAGUGCUAAGUGUUAGGGGGUUUCCGCCCCUUAGUGCUGCAGCUAACGCAUUAAGCACUCCGCCUGGGGAGUACGGUCGCAAGACUGAAACUCAAAGGAAUUGACGGGGGCCCGCACAAGCGGUGGAGCAUGUGGUUUAAUUCGAAGCAACGCGAAGAACCUUACCAGGUCUUGACAUCCUCUGACAAUCCUAGAGAUAGGACGUCCCUCUUCGGGGGCAGAGUGACAGUGGUGCAUGGUUGUCGUCAGCUCGUGUCGUGAGAUGUGGGUUAAGUCCCGCAACGAGCGCACCCUGAUCUAGUGCCAGCAUUCAGUGGCACUCUAGUGACUGCGGUGACAACCGAGAGUGGGGAUGACGUCAAUCAUCAUGCCCCUUAUGA